ensembl:snRNA U6 U6 spliceosomal RNA
GUGCUCACUUCAGCAGCACAUAUUCUAAAAUUGGAACGAUACAGAGAAGAUUAGCAUGGCCCCUGUAAGGAUGACACUCAAAUUAGUGAAGGGUUCCAUAUUUAA